UACGAAGGGGGCUAGCGUUGCUCGGAAUUACGGGGCGUAAAGCGCACGUAGGCGGAUUGUUAAGUCGGGGGUGAAAUCCUGGAGCUCAACUCCAGAACUGCCUUCGAUACUGGCGAUCUCGAGUUCGGGAGAGGUGAGUGGAACUGCGAGUGUAGAGGUGAAAUUCGUAGAUAUUCGCAAGAACACCAGUGGCGAAGGCGAGUCUCUGGACAUUUCCUGACGCUGAGGCACGAAAGCCAGGGGAGCAAACGGG
rnacentral:rRNA from 1 species